rnacentral:rRNA from 1 species
UACGAAGGGUGCAAGCGUUACUCGGAAUUACUGGGCGUAAAGGGCUCGUAGGCGGCCAACUAAGUCAGACGUGAAAUCCCUCGGCUCAACCGGGGAACUGCGUCUGAGACUGGAUGGCUUGAAUCCGGGAGAGGGAUGUGGAAUUCCAGGUGUAGCGGUGAAAUGCGUAGAUAUCUGGAGGAACACCGGUGGCGAAGGCGGCAUCCUGGACCGGUAUUGACGCUGAGGAGCGAAAGCCAGGGGAGCAAACGGG